AUGAACUUCUCACUCCACUUGCAAACAAUUUUCACCUUUGUUAAGACAAAACAAAACAACUUCAAAGGAAAAAAACCCAUACACAUAUACAAGAAUUGUACUAGACAUUGUCUCGUUAUGUACUUGAACUCAACGACUGUGGAUCUGUUUUGGCUGAAAGGUGUACUGGAAACAGUCCAUGCACAUAUACAUAUAUAGAUGUAAAAAUGAGGCAAGUGCCUAAUACCAUGCCAUCUCGCAAAGUGUUGAAGCAAAAAAUGUGAACAGAAUGGUAGCUUUUCCACGAAAUACUCCAUCUCAGAUAUUUUAAAAAUUAAAUGAAAGUUACUUAAUAAUAUACAUGGAUAUGCUAUCAAAAAAGCAAUAAACCUAGUUGAUAAACUACUGUUAACUAAUGGCUGGGCUUCUGUAUGACAUGGAAGGAUAGUUGUAAAGCAGACACUCCUAGACUAAAACUAGGGGAAUCAUCAAUUGUCUGGAGAUGAAAGGGAGAUGGUCAGGUCAGUACAGUCAAGUUUGAGGACUGACAGUCUGGCUGUAAGACUGACUAUUGCUCUUGAUAUGAGUAGCUUCAUGUAAAAAGGAAAAAAAAAAAUACAUUCUAGUUAAGUCAGCUGCUGGACUGAUCCUUUCAAAGGAACAACAUUAAAAACAAAACAAAACCCCUUACCCCAGUAGUUGGAAGGAAAGAGAAACAAAGCUGUGGAGAAUCUAAUAUUGAGCAAGAAGUACUGAAGUUGUAAGAUUCCAUUUUAAUCUCCCCUUUAUCCCUUUCAGUGCAGGUACAGUUCCCACUAAACUGAAAGGCUUUUACACACAUAAGUUGGGGGCAGAGACCUCUUGCUCUUGCGGUUAAGUUGGAAAGAAUACUCUAACAAUUCCUCCCUCUUCCCCACAGUGAAGUAUAACACACACAAUUAUUUGGGUGAAUGAGGACUGUUACUAUGAUGCCUACAAUGGCCAUGACUUCAACAAGCUCCCCACAAUCGGGGCAGCAACGAUGAUGACCAUGUGAGGCUUUCUGAUCUAAGUUGAAUGGAAAGCUAGGAAAAUAGCAGAUACCCGGAUAAAAAUAUCUUUUUCAGGUCAUGCUUUUUCUUAAAAUGGAUGUUGGCUGGUGGUUAAUGGGUCGUCUAAUGUUAAAGAGAGACAGGUUUUCUAAAUGCAGCAAUGAUAUUUUGAAAUCAGUGUUUCCAACAAGGAUGAACACUGCUCAAAGACCCUGCCUGCCUUCCUAAGAACUAGCGUUCCAGUAGGUUUGUAACUGUCAUGAGGGCAUAGUAAGUAGCAGAUCAAAGUGGGAAGAGACUUCACUUUGCAGUGAUCCGCUUCUCCGUAAUCACAAGAAAGAGAAAGUGCAUGCCACCUCGCCAACCCUCCCCCACCCCACUUGUACAACCCUUUGCUACAUCCCCCUCCCCAGAUUCAAGAAGUUCACAAUUCUUUACGAAACAAACAUUGCCAGGUACCGUAUCUUAAGUCUUGAAACAACAUUGUUGAACUCAGCGAUACUUUGUCAUAUUCAUAUAUCUUUUUUUUUUUUUAUUGAAUAAAGCAGCUUUGAAGCUUAUCAGGCACUGCCCAACAAAACAUUUAGUCCAAAAAAAAUCUGUUAUGAACUUUUUAACCUUGGGCUAACAGCCAAGUACUCUGUACAAGAAAGACUGUAAAAUAUUUCAUAGUUUUAAUUCUGAAGCCAUUUUUUUUUAAACUGGCAUCCUGUACAUUUCUUUAAAAAAAAAAAAAGGAAAUGAG
rnacentral:lncRNA from 1 species